rnacentral:rRNA from 1 species
GGAGGAUCCAAGCGUUAUCCGGAAUCAUUGGGUUUAAAGGGUCCGUAGGUGGAUAAUUAAGUCAGAGGUGAAAUCCUGCAGCUCAACUGUAGAAUUGCCUUUGAUACUGGUUAUCUUGAGUUAUUAUGAAGUAGUUAGAAUAUGUAGUGUAGCGGUGAAAUGCAUAGAUAUUACAUAGAAUACCAAUUGCGAAGGCAGAUUACUAAUAAUAUACUGACACUGAUGGACGAAAGCGUGGGUAGCGAACAGGAUUAGAUACCCUGGUAGUCCCACGCCCGUAAACGAUGGAUACUAGCUGUUCGGACUUCGGUUUGAGUGGCUAAGCGAAAGUGAUAAGUAUCCCCACCUGGGAGUACGUUCGCAAGAAUG